UACGUAGGGGGCAAGCGUUGUCCGGAAUCAUUGGGCGUAAAGCGCGUGUAGGCGGCCAGGUAAGUCCGUUCUGAAAGCCCGGGGCUCAACCCCGGGAGGCGGAUGGAUACUGCUUGGCUCGAGUCCGGAAGAGGUGAGUGGAAUUCCCGGUGUAGCGGUGAAAUGCGUAGAUAUCAGGAGGAACACCUGUGGUGUAGACAGCUUACUGGACCACUUCUGACGCUGAGACACGAAAGCGUGGGUAGCAAACAGG
rnacentral:rRNA from 1 species